rnacentral:rRNA from 1 species
AACGAACGCUGGCGGCAUGCCUAACACAUGCAAGUCGAACGAGCCGCUCGGGGCGCGGGGGGCGGGGGUGUGUAACGCGGGGAAACACCCCUUGGGGCGCGGCAAAACCGCCAGACAGGGGUGAUAACAGGGGAAGACCUAACGGGGCAAAAGAUAUCUCGCCGUGGGAUGGGCCCGCGUUGGAUUAGCUUGUUGGUAGGGUAAAGGCCCACCAAGGCGACGAUCCAUAGCUGGUCUGAGAGGAUGAUCAGCCACACUGGGACUGAGACACGGCCCAGACUCCUACGGGAGGCAGCAGUGGGGAAUAUUGGACAAUGGGCGCAAGCCUGAUCCAGCCAUGCCGCGUGAGUGAUGAAGGCCUUAGGGUUGUAAAGCUCUUUUGUCCGGGAAGAUAAUGACUGUACCGGAAGAAUAAGCCCCGGCUAACUCCGUG